CAGAGAAGUUUCCCUUGAUCUCUGUCUUUCAGGCUCGGCUCUCUGCCUUUUAAUAGCAGAGUUUGAAUCCACCUACAUUGCUCAUGGUCUUGCUUCCCUUCCACCUGGUCUCCUGCACUUCCGUCUCUUCCGGCUCUUUCCUUAGGCAUAGGCUUGUAUGAAUAAAUGGAUAAAGGAAAUCAGACUUCCAGGCUGCCUUCCUUACCUGCAGUAUAGUUAUUCUCUUUGGAC